rnacentral:rRNA from 1 species
GUAAGGAAUAUUGGACAAUGGACGCAAGUCUGAUCCAGCCAUGCCGCGUGAAGGAUUAAGGUCCUCUGGAUUGUAAACUUCUUUUAUAAGGGACGAAAAAAGGCUUUUCUAAGUCGUCUGACGGUACCUUAGGAAUAAGCACCGGCUAACUCCGUGCCAGCAGCCGCGGUAAUACGGAGGGUGCAAGCGUUAUCCGGAUUCACUGGGUUUAAAGGGUGCGUAGGCGGGCAGGUAAGUCAGUGGUGAAAUCCUAGAGCUUAACUCUAGAACUGCCAUUGAUACUAUCUGUCUUGAAUAUUGUGGAGGUAAGCGGAAUAUGUCAUGUAGCGGUGAAAUGCUUAGAUAUGACAUAGAACACCUAUUGCGAAGGCAGCUUACUACGCAUAUAUUGACGCUGAGGCACGAAAGCGUGGGGAUCAAACAGGAUUAGAAACCCUGGUAGUCC